rnacentral:rRNA from 1 species
CACAUCCUGGGGCCGGAGAAGGUCCCAAGGGUUGGGCUGUUCGCCCAUUAAAGUGGCACGCGAGCUGGGUUCAGAACGUCGCGAGACAGUUCGGUCUCUAUCUGCUGUGGGCGUAAGAAAUUUGAGGGAAUCUGACUUUAGUACGAGAGGACCGAGUUGGACGUACCGCUAGUGUACCUGUUGUGGCGCCAGCUGCAUCGCAGGG